GAUGAACGCUGGCGGCGUGCUUAACAUAUGCAAGUCGAACGAUGAAGCCCAGCUUGCUGGGUGGAUUAGUGGCGAACGGGUGAGUAACACGCGAGUAACCUGCCCUUGACUCUGGGAUAAGCCUGGGAAACUGGGUCUAAUACUGGAUAUGACUUCUCAUCGCAUGGUGGGGGGUGGAAAGAUUUAUUGGUCUUGGAUGGACUCGCGGCCUAUCAGCUUGUUGGUGAGGUAAUGGCUCACCAAGGCGACGACGGGUAGCCGGCCUGAGAGGGUGACCGGCCACACUGGGACUGAGACACGGCCCAGACUCCUACGGGAGGCAGCAGUGGGGAAUAUUGCACAAUGGGCGCAAGCCUGAUGCAGCGACGCCGCGUGAGGGAUGACGGCCUUCGGGUUGUAAACCUCUUUCAGUAGGGAAGAAGCGAGAGUGACGGUACCUGCAGAAGAAGCGCCGGCUAACUACGUG
rnacentral:rRNA from 1 species